rnacentral:rRNA from 1 species
UACGUAGGGACCGAGCGUUGUCCGGAUUCAUUGGGCGUAAAGAGCUCGUAGGCGGCCACUCAAGUCGAAUGUGAAACCUCGAGGCUCAACCUCGAGCCUGCAUUCGAUACUGGGCGGCUAGAGUCUGGUAGGGGGAGUCUGGAAUUCCUGGUGAGCGGUGGAAUGCGCAGAUAUCAGGAGGAACACCGGUGGCGAAGGCGGGAUCCUGGGCCAGUACUGACGCUGAGGAGCGAAAGCGUGGGGAGCAAACAGG